ensembl:rRNA 5S_rRNA 5S ribosomal RNA
CGCCACAGCCACAUCACCAUGCAGCCCAAGAGCUGUUACUCACUGAAGCUAUGCAUAGCUGAGCCUGGUCAGUACCUGGAUGGGAGACCACAUUGGUAAAACUAGGUUGCUGUUGGAA